UAGAGUUUGAUCAUGGCUCAGGACGAACGCUGGCGGCGUGCCUAACACAUGCAAGUCGAGCGGAGAUAUUUGGUAGCUUGCUACCAGAUAUUUUAGCGGCGGACGGGUGAGUAACACGUGGGUAACCUGCCUUUCACAGGGGGAUAACACAGAGAAAUCUGUGCUAAUACCGCAUAACACAUUUUUGUGGCAUCACAGAAAUGUCAAAGGAGCAAUCCGGUGAAAGAUGGACCCGCGUCCGAUUAGUUAGUUGGUGAGGUAAUGGCUCACCAAGACCGCGAUCGGUAGCCGAACUGAGAGGUUGAUCGGCCACAUUGGGACUGAGACACGGCCCAGACUCCUACGGGAGGCAGCAGUGGGGAAUAUUGCGCAAUGGGGGAAACCCUGACGCAGCAACGCCGCGUGAAGGAAGAAGGCUUUCGGGUUGUAAACUUCUUUGAUCGGGGAAGAAUAACUGACGGUACCCGAAAAACAAGCCACGGCUAACUACGUGCCAGCAGCCGCGGUAAUACGUA
rnacentral:rRNA from 2 species